AUGCGGGGAGCAGUCACGGAGGGGUUUGGCACAGGGAUGCAGGGUGGGACGAGGAGGGUGCUGCGGACCCCCAGGGCUGUGCCGAUGCCGGGGAUCCCCGUGGCUGGGGGAGUGCAGGAGGGAGGCGGCAGGGAAGGGCUCCAAGGGAAAGCUUUGUUCGUGGGCCAGCCGGGAGCGUGCGGGGCCUCCGGGCUCCAGCGUUUCUCCUCCACUUCGCUCCUGCUGUGCGCGGGAGCCGAGCCAAGGUGCAGCACGGCGGGGUGGAGCGGGUCCCUGAGGAAGGCAGGGGACAAGGGACGGCCGUGCAUUUGGCCCUUAAAUUGCCUGGGAAAGCAGCUCUCUCUUUCCAUCUCCCCUCUGGGCUCUUCUCUCACCCAAGCUGAGGCUGUUUCCCAGGCUGCUUGCCCUGAACACCUCCACCUCUGCCCUUUGCCAGCGACCCCUCUCCUUGGCCCAUGGAGCCCGUGGAUCUGCAAGCUCAGGGGAAGGAUAAGGAAAGGCUCACGACAGAAUGGCCCUUCGUGGAACGCUCGAGCUGGAGAAAUAAGGAAGAUGCCUCCACUGUGGCUUUUGACACAGAGCAAGUCACGAGAUGCCGAGGAGGUCAGACCUGCUGCCACGGAGGGGCACUGCCAUCCAGAGAGCUUCCCACUGCCCAGAUCUGCAGAUCGCAUGGCAAACUUCUCCUGGCUCUCCCAGAUCUGCCUGCCAAGGGCAGCUGCCAGCGAGGCACCACCAACAGAGACUUUCAGGGAGUCUCUUGGUGUGCAGGGAUCACCCCAAGCGGGAAUUUCUCUGGGAAUUCCUGCAAUAGCAGCUUAGCUCCCGCGGAGGUGGAGUUUCCUCUGGGUCUACCUCCACCCAGGCUUGGGGAGCGCUCUGGCCACCGGCUCCACGCUUGGGGGGCAGGGCUGAGCCACGCCACCGCUGCUUCCCAGCCAAGGUCAGCCAGAAACCCUCCCUGCCCUGCAAGCGCCUGGCCUGUUGUGUCCUGUUAACCCUUGGCAAGAGCAGAGCCACAGCCUGGCGGGCUUGGGCUGCAGAGCUGGCCCGUGCCCACGGGCACACAGGGGCAGGGGACAUGCCCAGCAGGCACACAGGGCUGCAGGCGUGAGGAUUUCAUGCCAUUCAGUCCCUUGGGGACCUGCUGCCAGGCAGUGGUGGGCCCUGGGUGAGGCUGGUUGCUACUGCGGGAGGCCAGCGCUGGCAGGGAGAUGGCUCCUGCUCAAGGCAGGGAGCGACGGGGUGAUGGUGCUUGGCAUCAGUGACUGUGUGCUCUGGAAUCUGAGACACGUCCCCGGCCAUACUUGUGGUCAGGAGCCAUCUCUGCGUUGCAGCAGCACAAGCCACACUCCCAGUGGCAGCAGUGCUGCUUGAGCGUGUCUCUGAUGCCAAGGACCGGCGUGACCCGACCCCACACACAGGACAGGCAGCUGCUCAUUUCCAGAAGGUGCCCUUGUUGGGACUUGUUUCCUCCUCUCUAACAGAGGUAGGCCUCUCCAAAAUGGCACCCACUGACUCCACAGCCGGACCCUGCCAAGGGUUGGAGGAUUUCCAGGUGCUGCACGGGCUCCAGACUGUGGGGUGGAGGGAACUUGUGUUCGCAAACACACGGCCAAGCCAAGAAGUUUCAAGGUGUCAUGCUAGGGAGAGGGUCCAGUGCUCACUUUUGGUCUGGGACCACCUUUGCUGCUUUAGGGAUGAACUGCCAUGUGUCUCACAUAUCCAGGGUGCAGCUCUUGCUAAAGGGGAUCCCAGAGCUCUGUGGUAUUUUUAUAAAUCUCCAUGGUAUUGCUAUAAAGAACAGCAGCAGGCAGCUUGCUAGUGGGCAGAUUUGGGGAUCAGCCACCCAUCAGAGCUUUAGCACUGAUCUGUUCAAUGCUUCUCUCUCUGGAGGUAUUUGAAACUCAUCUGAACAAGUUCCUGUGUCACCUGCUUUAGGUGACUCUGACUUUGAAGGGGGGCUGGAUGAUCUCCAAGCCCUUGAGCCCUACCAAUUCUGUGAUUCUGUGAUUCUGAGAUUAUGCCCUCAGUGACUCAGCCUGCCCCAGGACAGAGUGCAGUUGGAGAUGAGCACUGGGAAUUCUGGUUCCCAAGACCUGACUGCGCAUCCUGAGGCCACACGUAGCAUAUCCCUGUGCUUCCACAUGAUCUGCAGCUCCAUCGGGGCAGGACACGGCCGCUCUUCACCAGUACAGUCAGGGCCCUCUCCGAAACAUCGGCGCUUGGCGAGGGCUGUGCAUGGGAGUUCUCCCUCUGCCAGGAACCAGCUGAGGGAGCGACAGCGCUCAGCAGCAGCUCCCGGGGGAUGCGCUGCCCUCGCACAGUGUGCGACUGCCAUCUACAGGGGGUCUAGCCUGGCCCCCCAAAAACACCCAUCCUCUCGCCACUGCUGACUGCUGUCCAGUCCCCAAGGCCGUAUGAGGGGCACACCUCAGUUUAUCCAGGGAGCAUUUAUCCACUUUAUCCAGCAGUUUAUCCAGCACUGCUCCGAGGGCUCAGCACAGCCACAGACAACAGUCACAGCCACAGAAUGGUUUGGGGUGGAAGGAGCCUGUAAAGCUCAUCUUGUUCCAACCCCCUGCCAUUGUCAGGGACACCUUCCACUAUCCCAGGCUGCUCCAAGCGCCAUCCAUGAAACUUCCAGGGAU
ensembl:lncRNA